ACUGAGCCCCGUUUCCUUCGGGAUAGGUACAAUGUCGUGAGGGCGCCAGGCCCACAGCCUUGGAAAUAGACCUCCAAGGCGCCCCUGCUCAAGCUAAACGCACCACGCCGGCUUUCCACACCAAAUGCAAAUUUCCGAAAACCCCAGACGGCCUCAGAGAUGCUGCAGGCUGGCGAGCGAUUUCAGCUACCCCUAGCUCCUUGUGGGUUGGCCCAGCCUGCGAGCGCGAUCCUGACUUGUGUCCGGGUGGACUGAAAUAUCAUUUUUACAAAUGGAGAAAAUGAGAUCGAGAUGGACAGACAUAGCAAGGUGAUAAUGUCCGACUCAAUUAUUUCUACUGGGAAUGACUGAAAGGUAAAGGAAUCGUUAAUGAAUCUGGAGAUGACAGAGGCAUGCUUUAUUUAAUUUUUAAAUUAGUAAGGAGUGCAGACUUGGGGUGGUGGAGAGCAAGGGUUUUUUUGUUGUUGUUGCUGUUUGUUUUUGUGGGGUUUUUUUUCUGCUGGUUAUUGCCAAGUAUAAUGACUUUCUUUAAAUCCGAAGGCGAACGAAUUGAUUCUGACAAUUAAGGAUUUGUCCUUCAAUCUUGCAAAUGCCCAAUUAAAAGAUUAUUAUUGUCAAUAAAGCCUUGGAGCUACCUUUGU
rnacentral:lncRNA from 10 species